GGUCAGGACGAACGCUGGCGGCGUGCCUAACACAUGCAAGUCGAACGGGGAUUUGUUUCGGCAGAAUCCUAGUGGCGAACGAGUGAGUAACGCGUAGGCAACCUGCCCUCCGGCCGGGGACAACACUCCGAAAGGGGUGCUAAUACCGGAUACGAAGUCUGUGCCGCAUGGUACGGAUUUGAAAGAUGGCCUCUAUUUAUAAGCUAUCGCCGGGGGAUGGGCCUGCGUCCGAUUAGCUGGUUGGUGGGGUAACGGCCUACCAAGGCGACGAUCGGUAGCCGGUCUGAGAGGAUGAACGGCCACAUUGGGACUGAGACACGGCCCAGACUCCUACGGGAGGCAGCAGUGGGGAAUCUUCCGCAAUGGGCGCAAGCCUGACGGAGCAACGCCGCGUGAGUGAGGAAGUUCUUCGGAACGUAAAGCUCUGUUGUUCCUGACGAACCUCCCUUCUAUCAACAACGGAGGGGACUGACGGUAGGGAACGAGGAAGCCACGGCUAACUACGUGCCAGCAGCAGC
rnacentral:rRNA from 1 species